rnacentral:misc_RNA from 1 species
UCUCCGUUGGUGAACCAGCGGAGGGAUCAUUACCGAGUUUACAACCCCCAAACCCCUGUGAACAUACCAUUUGUUGCCUCGGCGGUGCCUGCUUCGGCAGCCCGCCAGAGGACCCAAACCCUUGAUUUUAUACAGUAUCUUCUGAGUAAAUGAUUAAAUAAAUCAAAACUUUCAACAACGGAUCUCUUGGUUCUG